AUGGAGAAAAGAGGUCAAAGUGAUAUGCACACGGCCAAGCUGCCUGGCUGGGAGAAGCCAAAGCAUGGGUGGAUAAAACUAAACACAGAUGGAGCUUUUGUGGCAUGUGAUAAUGCGGGUGCUGGCAUGAUCUUGAGGGAUGAGUUUGGCAAAAUAAUCUUUUCUGCUUGCAGGGCAAUACUGUUUUGCCGAGAUGCCCUGGAGGCUGAACUUUAUGCGUGCUUGGAGGGGCUAUCUUCGGCGGUCCAACGUACUUCUUUACCGAUACAAGUUGAGAUGGACUCCUUUGUUGCCGUAGCUAUGAUCACUUGUGGUGAUACUGAUCGAUCACUUUAUUCGUCGUUGGUUAAUGAGAUUAGGGGUUUACUAAACCUUCAUCAAGCUUGUAUUACUCAUAUUGCUCGUUCACAGAAUAAGGCGAGUGAUAAGCUAGCGUCUUUUGGUCGUUCUAAUAAUAGAACUAUGACUUGGUUAGGGUCAGGUCCUCCUGAAGUUUUGGAGGUAGUUUCUGAGGAUUGUAUUGAUACUGUGAUUGAGUAA
rnacentral:rRNA from 1 species